GUUCCUCGCCCGCAUUCUCAGCUGCGAGCAGGGGCAGAUCCUCCGCGCUCGUCAUCGCGCGGCCUCUGGCAGCGUUGGUUUCCCUAGCGACGGGGACGCGGCCAAGACUUCCCUCCUCUCCUUCCUUCCUAUUGGGCCAAGGACUCCUGCCCCCUCCCCUUCCAGGCAAAUAAGGAAUGCAGAUCUAAGAAUCCAUGACUUCUGUUCUGUCUAUGGCAAGAAUGGACUUACGCCCCAAAGGAGAAAAGACAAGAGAGAGAAACAGAGAGGAAGAUUUCUUGGAGACAUCAGAGACAGACCUCAACCCUGGGAGGAACUUGGCUUACUUAGCCUCUUCAGAGAUGAAUACUUGCUCGGGUUGGUCUUUACUGCAGACUCAUAGGAUGGGGGCAGGUGUGCCAAGUUCUGGAAAGAGCGGGAGAAGGAGAGGUCAUAGGGCUCGGUGGCCGAUGUCAGGAUGUUGUUCAUCCGAGGCUUC